UGGAGGUAUUCAAGCUGGAGCCUAUAAGAUUGGAGACACAGCUGGAACAAUUAAUAACAUAAUUCAGUGCAAGUUGUACAGACUUGGAUCUGUUGGUUUUGUCUCCAAAUCUGGUGGAAUGUCUAAUGAGAUGUACAAUACCAUAGCCCAUGUAACAGAUGGAAUCUAUGAAGGCAUUGCUAUUGGAGGUGAUGUGUUUCCAGGCUCCACUUUAUCUGAUCAUGUUGUGCGGUUUAACAAAAUUCCAC